rnacentral:ribozyme from 1 species
UUUUUUUUUUUUUUUUUUUUUUUUUUUCUUU